CCUACGGGAGGCAGCAGUAGGGAAUCUUCCACAAUGGGCGAAAGCCUGAUGCAGCAACGCCGCGUGGGUGAAGAAGGUCUUCGGAUCGUAAAACCCUGUUGUUAGAGAAGAAAGUGCGUGAGAGUAACUGUUCACGUUUCGACGGUAUCUAACCAGAAAGCCCCGGCUAACUACGUGCACGCAGCCGGGGUAAUACGUCGGUGGCAAGCGUUAUCCGGAUUUAUUGGGCAUAAAGGGAACGCAGGAGGUCGUUUAAGUCUGAUGUGAAAGCCUUCGGCUUAACCGGAGUAGUGCAUUGGAAACUGGGAGACUUGAGUGCAGAAGAGGAGAGUGGAACUCCAGGUGUAGCGGUGAAAUGCGUAGAUAUAUGGAAGAACACCAGUGGCGAAAGCGGCUCUCUGGUCUGUAACUGACGCUGAGGUUCGAAAGCGUGGGUAGCAAACAGGAUUAGAUACCCGUGUAGUC
rnacentral:rRNA from 1 species